CCUACGGGAGGCAGCAGUGAGGAAUAUUGGUCAAUGGACGCGAGUCUGAACCAGCCAAGUAGCGUGAAGGAUGACUGCCCUAUGGGUUGUAAACUUCUUUUAUAUGGGAAUAAAGUGAUGCACGUGUGCCUUUUUGUAUGUACCUUAUGAAUAAGGAUCGGCUAACUCCGUUCCAGCAGCCGCGGUAAUACGGAGGAUCCGAGCGUUAUCCGGAUUUAUUGGGUUUAAAGGGAGCGUAGGUGGGUUGUUAAGUCAGUUGUGAAAGUUUGCGGCUCAACCGUAAAAUUGCAGUUGAUACUGGCAGUCUUGAGUACAGUAGAGGUAGGCGGAAUUCGUGGUGUAGCGGUGAAAUGCUUAGAUAUCACGAAGAACUCCGAUUGCGAAGGCAGCUUACUGGACUGCAACUGACACUGAUGCUCGAAAGUGUGGGUAUCAAACAGGAUUAGAUACCCGUGUAGUC
rnacentral:rRNA from 1 species